GUGCUCCCUUUGGCAGCAUAUAUACUAAGAUUGGAAGAAUACAGAGAAGAGUAGCAUGGCCCCUGCACAAGCAUGACACACACAUUCGUGAAGCGUCCCAUAUUUUU
rfam:Pteropus alecto contig100937, whole genome shotgun sequence.